AUUUAUCGCUGGCGGCAGGCCUAACACAUGCAAGUCGAGCGGUAGAGAGGAGCUUGCUCCUCUUGAGAGCGGCGGACGGGUGAGUAAUGCCUAGGAAUCUGCCUGGUAGUGGGGGAUAACGUUCGGAAACGGACGCUAAUACCGCAUACGUCCUACGGGAGAAAGCAGGGGACCUUCGGGCCUUGCGCUAUCAGAUGAGCCUAGGUCGGAUUAUCUAGUUGGUGAGGUAAUGGCUCACCUAGGCGACGAUCCGUAACUGGUCUGAGAGGAUGAUCAGUCUCACUGGAACUGAGACACGGUCCAGACUCCUACGGGAGGCAGCAGUGGGGAAUAUUGGACUAUGGGCGAAAGCCUGAUCCAGCCAUGCCUCGUGUGUGAAGAAGGUCUUCGGAUUGUAAAGCACUUUAAGUUGGGAGGAAGGGCAGUAAAUUAAUACUUUGCUGUUUUGACGUUACCGACAGAAUAUGCUCCGGUUAACUCUGUGCCAGCAUCCGCGGUAAUACAGAGGGUGCAAGCGUUUAUCGGAAUUACUGGGCGUAAAGCGCGCGUAGGUGGUUUGUUAAGUUGGAAGUGAAAUCCCCGGGCUUCACCUGUGGAACUGCUUUCAAAUCUGACUGACUAUAGUAUGGUAGAGGGGGGUGGAAUUUCCUGUUGUAGCGUUGAAAUUGCUUAAAAUAGGAAGGAACCCCCGUUGGCGUAGGCUACUACCUUGUACUAAUACUGACACUGAGAGGCUAAAAUCGUGGGGAGCAAACAAGAUUAGAUACCCGUGAAGUCCACGCCGUAAAACGAAGUCAACUAGCCGUUGGAAGCCUUGAGCUUUUAAUGGAGCAGUUUCAGCAUUAAGUUGACCGCCAGGGGAAGUACGGCCGCAAGGUUAAAACUCAAAUGAAUUGCAGUGGGGCCCGCACAAGCGGUGGAGCAAUUUGGUUUAAUUGGAAGCAACGCGAAGAACCUUACCAGGCCUUGACAUCCAAUGAACUUUCUAGAGAUAGAUUGGUGCCUUAGGGAACAUUGAGACAGGUGUUGCAUGGCUGUCGUCAGCUCGUGUCGUGAGAUGUUGGGUUAAGUCCCGUAACGAGCGCAACCCUUGUCCUUAGUUACCAGCACGUCAUGGUGGGCACUCUAAGGAGACUGCCAGAGACAAACCGGAGGAAGGUGGGGAUGACGUCAAGUCAUCAUGGCCCUUACGGCUUGGGCUACACACGUGCUACAAUGGUCGGUACAGAGGGUUGCCAAGCCGCGAGGAGGAGCUAAUCCCACAAAACCGAUCGUAGUCCGGAUCGCAGUCUGCAACUCGACUGCGUGAAGUCGGAAUCGCUAGUAAUCGCGAAUCAAAAUGUCGCGGUGAUUUCGUUCCCGGGCCU
rnacentral:rRNA from 1 species